rnacentral:rRNA from 1 species
GAGCGGCGAACGGGUGAGUAACACGUGAGUAACCUGCCCCCGACUCUGGGAUAAGCCCGGGAAACUGGGUCUAAUACCGGAUAUGACACCUCCUCGCAUGGGGUGGGUGUGGAAAGUUUUUUCGGUUGGGGAUGGACUCGCGGCCUAUCAGCUUGUUGGUGGGGUAAUGGCCUACCAAGGCGACGACGGGUAGCCGGCCUGAGAGGGCGACCGGCCACACUGGGACUGAGACACGGCCCAGACUCCUACGGGAGGCAGCAGUGGGGAAUAUUGCGCAAUGGGCGAAAGCCUGACGCAGCGACGCCGCGUGGGGGAUGACGGCCUUCGGGUUGUAAACCUCUUUCAGCAGGGACGAAGUUGACGUGUACCUGCAGAAGAAGCGCCGGCUAACUACGUGCCAGCAGCCGGGGUAAUACGUAGGGCGCAAGCGUUGUCCGNAAUUAUUGGGCGUAAAGAGCUCGUAGGUGGCUUGNCACGUCGGGUGUGAAAGCUUGGGGCUUAACUCAGGUCUGCAUUCGAUACGGCCUGGCUAGAGGUAGGUAGGGAGAACGGAUUCCU